rnacentral:rRNA from 1 species
UUCUACGGCCAUGCCACCCUGAACAAGCCCGAUCCUGUCUGAUCUCGGAAGCUAAGCAGGGUCGGGCCUGGUUAGUACUUGGAUGGGAGACCACCUAGGAAGACCAGGUGCUGUAGGCG